GGGAGUUGAGCUGGGGAAAGGGCUGGGAAACUUACCUUUCAGCAGGUGAUGUCAACUUUCACUUAAAUACGCUCCUUUCACUAGGAUGCCUCGCCCUGCCCUCAGCAGUACCUGAUGUUCCUGAAAGAGAACUGGUCUGGUUCAGCUUCUCUUGAGGGUAAAUCUGCUUCUCAGGCUCAAAGAGGGGCUUUGGAGUGUCCAGAUGCUUCUUUAAGAUGGAGGAAAACUGCAGCCAAUGCAGAGGUUUCAAUUUUAGGAGAUACUUGGGAGAAAUGAGAGAUACGGAAACGCUUUGUUCUGUCACUAUCCUGUUAGCUGGGUGCCGACCGGAACACUUGGCAUCAUGGGCGAUGGGUAGACUUUGACCAGCCCCAAGCGCCCGCCAGGUGCAAAUAUGCCAAAGGGACUUCUCCAGCCAGAAGAUUCCCCUGAAUGAAGGCUGAAGAUUUCCAAAGUACUGGUCCCUCUGAAAUCUGCCUGAGGCAACUUGAACUUGGAUGAAUGGCCAUUAAACAUGCUGAUGCUGAACAAGGCUGCACAGAGUCCAGUGACUUCUCUGCUGAUUGGCCUCACAGACGAAAUAAUCCCCAUGGACCCAAACGAUGCCAAACAUGUUGGCGAUGUGGAUGGCUCUGUCUCCAGCAACUGGACCUAUGGUUCUUCAAAAAACAGCACGAGAAGUUAUACACCUGCCUAUCUCAGCAGAAGGAUGCAGGUGGGAGGCUCUAGACGCGCAGUUUUCAAAUCCCUGCUACUUACUAGCUAUGUGGUUUGGGAAAGUUGCAGAAACCUCUCUGUGUUCCUUCGUGUAUCACAAUGGGGAUAAUAACGACCACCUCAUAUACGAGGACGUUCAUAUCAAGCACUUGAUGUACAAUGACUCAGCUUAGUCAUGACUCAACAGUGCUAGCUGUACUUCAUUCCCAUCAAAUAAAACAAUAAGCACUUAAACA
ensembl:lncRNA